UUAUACCGCGAAACUGCGAAUGGCUCAUUAUAUAAGUUAUCGUUUAUUUGAUAGUACCUUACUACUUGGAUAACCGUGGUAAUUCUAGAGCUAAUACAUGCUAAAAAUCCCGACUUCGGAAGGGAUGUAUUUAUUAGAUUAAAAACCAAUGCCCUUCGGGGCUCACUGGUGAUUCAUGAUAACUCCUCGAAUCGCAUGGCCUUGCGCCGGCGAUGGUUCAUUCAAAUUUCUUCCCUAUCAACUUUCGAUGUUUGGGUAUUGGCCAAACAUGGUUGCAACGGGUAACGGAGGGUUAGGGCUCGACCCCGGAGAAGGAGCCUGAGAAACGGCUACUACAUCCAAGGAAGGCAGCAGGCGCGCAAAUUACCCAAUCCCGACACGGGGAGGUAGUGACAAUAAAUACUGAUACAGGGCUCUUUUGGGUCUUGUAAUUGGAAUGAGUACAAUUUAAAUCCCUUAACGAGGAACAAUUGGAGGGCAAGUCUGGUGCCAGCAGCCGCGGUAAUUCCAGCUCCAAUAGCGUAUAUUAAAGUUGUUGUGGUUAAAAAGCUCGUAGUUGAACCUUGGGCCUGGCUGGCCGGUCCGCCUCACCGCGUGUACUGGUCCGGCCGGGCCUUUCCCUCUGUGGAACCCCAUGCCCUUCACUGGGUGUGGUGGGGAAACAGGACUUUUACUGUGAAAAAAUUAGAGUGCUCCAGGCAGGCCUAUGCUCGAAUACAUUAGCAUGGAAUAAUAGAAUAGGACGUGUGGUUCUAUUUUGUUGGUUUCUAGGACCGCCGUAAUGAUUAAUAGGGACAGUCGGGGGCAUCAGUAUUCAAUUGUCAGAGGUGAAAUUCUUGGAUUUAUUGAAGACUAACUACUGCGAAAGCAUUUGCCAAGGAUGUUUUCAUUAAUCAGGAACGAAAGUUAGGGGAUCGAAGACGAUCAGAUACCGUCGUAGUCUUAACCAUAAACUAUGCCGACUAGGGAUCGGACGAUGUUAUUUUUUGACUCGUUCGGCACCUUACGAGAAAUCAAAGUGCU
rnacentral:rRNA from 1 species